CGGACGGGUGAGGAAUACAUCGGAAUCUACUCUGUCGUGGGGGAUAAUGUAGGGAAACUUACGCUAAUACCGCAUACGACCUACGGGUGAAAGCAGGGGAUCUUCGGACCUUGCGCGAUUGAAUGAGCCGAUGUCGGAUUAGCUAGUUGGCGGGGUAAAGGCCCACCAAGGCGACGAUCCGUAGCUGGUCUGAGAGGAUGAUCAGCCACACUGGAACUGAGACACGGUCCAGACUCCUACGGGAGGCAGCAGUC
rnacentral:rRNA from 1 species